UACGGGGGGGGGGCAAGCGUUUGUUCGGAAUUACUGGGCGUAAAGGGCGCGUAGGCGGUUUGCUAAGUUGAAUGUGAAAACUCUGGGCUUAACCCAGAGCCUGCAUUCAAUACUGGCAGGCUAGAGUUCUGGAGGGGAUAGCGGAAUUCCUGGUGUAGCGGUGAAAUGCGUAGAUAUCAGGAGGAACACCGGUGGCGAAGGCGGCUAUCUGGACAGAGUCUGACGCUGAGGCGCGAAAGCGUGGGGGAGCAAACAGG
rnacentral:rRNA from 1 species